rnacentral:rRNA from 1 species
AGAGUUUGAUCAUGGCUCAGGAUAAACGCUGGCGGCGUGCAUGAGACAUGCAAGUCGAACGGACGAUCAGGGCUUGCCUUGGUCGUUAGUGGCGGACGGCUGAGUAACGCGUAGGUGACCUGCCCCGAAGUGGGGAAUAACUGCCCGAAAGGGUGGCUAAUACCGCAUGUGGUGGUGUGUUCAUUCACACCAGUAAAGCCGCAAGGCGCUUCGGGAGGGGCCUGCGUCCGAUUAGCUCGUUGGUGGGGUAACGGCUCACCAAGGCGACGAUCGGUAGGUGGUCUGAGAGGACGAUCACCCAGACUGGGACUGAGACACGGCCCAGACUCCUACGGGAGGCAGCAGUCGGGAAUUUUGCGCAAUGGACGAAAGUCUGACGCAGCAACGCCGCGUGAGGGAUGACGGCCUUCGGGUUGUAAACCUCUUUUGUCAGGGAAGAUAAUGACGGUACCUGGCGAAUAAGUCACGGCUAACUACGUGCCAGCAGCCGCGGUAAUACGUAGGUGACAAGCGUUGUCCGGAUUUACUGGGCGUAAAGAGCGCGCAGGCGGUCGACCAAGUCGAGUGUGAAAGACCCCGGCUCAACUGGGGAGGGUCAUUCGAUACUGAUCGACUCGAAGGCAGGAGAGGGAAGUGGAAUUCCCGGUGUAGUGGUGAAAUGCGUAGAUAUCGGGAGGAACACCAGUGGCGAAGGCGACUUCCUGGCCUGUUCUUGACGCUGAGGCGCGAAAGCUAGGGGAGCAAACGGGAUUAGAUACCCCGGUAGUCCUAGCCGUAAACGAUGGACACUAGGUGUUGGUGGUAUCAACCCCC